UACAGAGGUCUCAAGCGUUGUUCGGAUUCAUUGGGCGUAAAGGGUGCGUAGGUGGCGCCGUAAGUCAGGUGUGAAAUUUCGGAGCUUAACUCCGAAACUGCAUUUGAUACUGCGGUGCUUGAGGACUGGAGAGGAGACUGGAAUUUACGGUGUAGCAGUGAAAUGCGUAGAUAUCAAGUGGAACACCAGUGGCGAAGGCGAGUCUCUGGACAUUUCCUGACGCUGAGGCACGAAAGCCAGGGGAGCAAACGGG
rnacentral:rRNA from 1 species